GUGUGAUCCUGCCAGUAUCAUCAUGCUUGUCCAAAGAUUAAGCAUCUGCCGAUGCUGCUAAGUAUGAACUAAUCAGAUGGAACUGCAGACAUGGCUCAUUAAAUCAGUUAUAGUUUGUUUGAUGGUAUCUGUACCGGCAUAAGCCGUUAGUAAUUCUAGAGCUAAACGUGCAACAACCCGACUUCUGAAGGGCAUGCAUUUACUUAGAUAAAAGUCGCGCCGGCUCUGCCCUUGCUCUAAUGAUUCAUGAUAACUCGACGGAUCGCACAGGCCAGAUCGAUCGCCGGCGACGCCAUAUUCAAAUUUCUGACCCUAUCAACUUUCGAUUGUAGGAAUAGGAGGCCUCCAUCGGUGGUCACGGGGUGACGGAGAACUUUAGGGUUCGACUUCCGGAGAGGGAGCCUGAGAAACGGCUACCACAUAAAGGAAUGCGGCAGUAAGGCGCGGCAAAUUACCCAAUCCUUGACCACGGGGAGGGGUAGUGACAAUAAAAUAACAAUACGGGGCUUUCGAGCUUGGUAAUUGAAUGAGUACAAUCUCAAAAAUCCCUUAACGAGGAUCCAUUGGAGGGCAAGUCUCCAGUGCCAGUCAAGCCGCCGGUAAUUCCAGCUCCAAUAGCGUAUAUUAAGUUGUUGCAGCUUUAAAAGCUUCGAUAGUUGGACUUGGUCCUGGGAUCGACCGGUCCGCUCUCGCGUGUGCACGCUUGCUUCGGCGACUCCUUCUGCGGCGAUGCGACUACCUGCCUAUAACUGGCCGGGUCGUGGCCCUCCGGCGCUGUUACUUUGAAGAACAUCUAGAGUGCUCAAAGCCUAAGCCCUCUGGAUACAUUAGCGAUGGGAUAACAUCAUGGAUUUCGGUCCUAUUGUGUUGACUUCUGGAUCGGAGUAGUAAUGCGAUUAACAGGACGUCGGGGCAUUCGCUAUUUCAGUAGUCAGAGGUGAACAAUUCUCUGGAUUAUGAAAGACGAACAACUGCGAAAGCACUUUGCCAGGAUGUUUUCAUUAACUCAAAACGAAAGUUGGGGGCUCCGAAGGACGAUAGAUGACCGUCCUAGCUCAACAUAAACGAUGCGACCACGGAUCGGCGGACUGUUGUCUUUAGGUACUCCGCCGGCACCUAUUGAGAAAUCAAGUCUUUUGGGUUCCGGGGGGAUGGUCGGAGGACUGAAACUUAAAGGGAAUUUGACGGAGACCGGCACCACCAGGAGUGGAGCCUGCGGCUUUAUUUGACUCAACACGGGGAAAACCUUACCAGGUUCCAGACAUAGUAGAGAAUUGACAGACUAAGCUCUUUCUUGCAUUCUAUGCGGUUGUGUUUGCAUGGCCGUUCUUAGUUGUUGGAGCCAUUUGUCUGGUUAAUUCUACGUUAACGACCGAGACCCUCAGCCUGCUAACUAAGCAUGCGGAUGGUGGACCCUCCGCCGGCCAGCUUUCUUAGAGGGACUAUUUGCCUUUUAGGCCAAGAAGUAUUGAGGCAAUACACAGGUCUGGUGAUGCCCUUUUAGAUGUUCUGGGCCGCACAGCGCACACUACACUAUGUAUUCCAGAGCAGUCUAAAGCCUUGGCCGACAGGACCGGGUAAUCUUUGACAAUUUCAAUCGUGAUGGGCGAUAGAUCAUUGCAAUUGUUGGUCUUCAACGAGGAAUUCCUAGUCAAGCAGCGAGUCAUCAGCUCGCGUUGACUACGUCCCUGCCCUUCUGUACAACACCGCCCGUCGCUCUACCGAGCUUGAAUUGGUCCGGUGAAGUGUAUCGGAUCGCCCUGCGACCGUGGGCUGGGGUUCGCCGCCCCGGGACGUCGCGAGAAGUCACUGAACCUUAUCAUUAGAGGAAGGAGAGUGCGUAACAAGGUUUCGUAGGUGAACCUCGCGGAA
rnacentral:rRNA from 1 species